UAUGUUUAAAUAAAAAGCUUACCAUUGAGAAGCGACUAGGUUAGGUCAGUCUAGGAGAAGAAAAGUGAAUAGGAAAGAAGUGUUGAGUAAGAUGGUUGGAGCUUAGGGUGCGAGAGGUUCCAGUUCCUCCGCCGCACUUUUCGUGUUUUGACGAUUUGGAAGCUAACAAGCUUGACUGUAAAUGGUAUAGUCAAAUACCUACCCACAAGCACCAGGCGCAUGCAUUUCUUAUCGGCUAGUCAUAAAGCAGGCACUUCAUUCUCUGCAUGUCAGUGAGAAAAGAAUACUUGCAGUUGUGUUUCUUCCAUUAAAUACCCGAAGAUGAUGUGAGUCAAUCUUAACAAUCUGGCUGAUAAUAGCAUUUACAGUUAACCACAAAGACUGCUUGCCAUGCCAUGAGACACUUAGCAUUGAUUGACAUCUAUAUCUCUCUGUUAGUUUGCAGAUACGAUUGCCUUGGGAUGAAUAAACUGUCUGAAGUCAUUGUUGACCAGUAUGAAACUAGAGGGGCACAAAGACAUGCACUACAUUCCACCCUAUUUGCCAGAAGCAAUACUUGCAGUGCAGUUUCUUCCACCACAAGAACUGGAGAUGUGAACUUGUCUUAUGAAUCUGGCAGAAUUAGCCUUUACAGUUGACCACCUACACAGAUUCCCAAGUGGCACGCAGAAGUUACUUUGAUUUUUGUAUCUGUCCCAUGCUGUUGUAUAAGCCAGACAGCAAAGGAAAAGAAAAACUGUUAUGAUGCUGAAAGAACUUCAGUCUACAUGAUUCAGUCUCUUAUGCAAUGUAGAAACAGAUACAUAUAGAAAAACAGAAUCUACCUUAAAAUAAUUUGUCCAUUUUGGUUUAUUAGUUAUUGUAUAAUUACCAAACAACAAGCUUCAGGAUUGAUUUCUUGAUAUUUUCCACUGCACAAUGCUUGAACAAAUGUAGCUGCACAAUGAUGUAUUCAAAUCCAUUUCAAUAUAAUUGGCACGCAUCUUAUUUUUCA